rnacentral:lncRNA from 1 species
ACAUAUGUACAAAAUUAGAACCAUAGUCUUUCUUUUGAUUUGGGGAAUUACAUUGAACACUAAAGAUGAGAAGUAGUAGGGUGCUUAUGCUCAAGGGAAACAUACAUAACAUAAUUAUAGGAAGGUUCGGGAACACAAAAGGUAACAUUAUCGUCGAGACUCACGCCAUGAACGAUGCACAAAUCAACCCAACCGCCGGAUACCUUGCAUGUGAGUUUACCAUCAGGAUCAACACCAAAAGUCAACUUGCAAGGAUAGCGUUCACCUCCACAAUCGACCAAAACUAUAUUUGAAUGAGUAAAGGCAAAAACAAAUUC